GGCGUUGUAAGUGCAGUUGGUUAAGCUCGCGCCCCUGGAAAGGGUGAGAUGGGGUUCGAGUCCUGCCUAACGUCA